AGGGACGACGGCCUACGGGUUGUAAACCUCUUUUAGUAGGGAAGAAGGGAGCAUGCUCUUGACGGUACCUGCAGAAAAAGCACCGGCUAACUACGUGCCAGCAGCCGCGGUAAUACGUAGGGUGCAAGCGUUGUCCGGAAUUAUUGGGCGUAAAGAGCUCGUAGGCGGUUUGUCGCGUCUGCUGUGAAAUCCCGAGGCUCAACCUCGGGCUUGCAGUGGGUACGGGCAGACUAGAGUGCGGUAGGGGAGAUUGGAAUUCCUGGUGUAGCGGUGGAAUGCGCAGAUAUCAGGAGGAACACCGAUGGCGAAGGCAGAUCUCUGGGCCGUAACUGACGCUGAGGAGCGAAAGCGUGGGGAGCGAACAGGAUUAGAUACCCUGGUAGUCCACGCCGUAAACGUUGGGCGCUAGAUGUAGGGACCUUUCCACGGUUUCUGUGUCGUAGCUAACGCAUUAAGCGCCCCGCCUGGGGAGUACGGCCGCAAGGCUAAAACUCAAAGGAAUUGACGGGGGCCCGCACAAGCGGCGGAGCAUGCGGAUUAAUUCGAUGCAACGCGAAGAACCUUACCAAGGCUUGACAUACACCGGAAACGGCCAGAGAUGGUCGCCCC
rnacentral:rRNA from 1 species